CUUCUCCUUCACUCCUUCUCUCCCCCUGUUCCCCUACCCCUCUCCUCCUCUUCACCACUCCCCCUGUUCCUCUCCUCCUGUCCCCCUGUUCCUGUCCCUCUCCCCCUGUUCCUCUCCCCCUGUUCCUCUCCUCCUGUCCCCCUGUUCCUCUCCCCCUGUUUCUCUCCUCCUCUCCCCCUGUUCCUCUCCUCCUGUCCCCCUGUUCCUCUCCCCCUGUUCCUCUCCCCCUGUUCCUCUCCUCCUCUCCCCCUGUUCCUCUCCUCCUGUCCCCCUGUUCCUGUCCCUCUCCCCCUGUUCCUCUCCCCCUGUUCCUCUCCUCCUGUCCCCCUGUUCCUCUCCCCCUGUUCCUCUCCUCCUGUUCCUCUCCUCCUGUCCCCCUGUUCCUCUCCCCCUGUUCCUCUCCCCCUGUUCCUCUCCUCCUCUCUCCCUGUUCCUCUCCUCCUGUUCCUCUCCCCCUGUUCCUCUGCCCCUGUUCCUCUCCUCCUCUCCCCCUGUCCCUCUGUCCUUGUUCCUCUCUCCCUGUUCCUCUCCUCCUGUUCCCCUGUUCCUCUCCCCCGUUCCUCUCCCCCUGUUCCUCUCCUCCUCUCCCCCUGUUCCUCUCCUCCUCUCCCCCUGUUCCUCUCCCCCUGUUCCUCUCCUCCUCUCCUCCUGUCCCUCUCCUCCUCUCCCCCUGUUCCUCUCCUCCUCUCCCCCUGUUCCUCUCCUCAUCUCCCCCUGUUCCUCUCCUCCUCUCCUCCUGUCCCUCUCCUCCUCUCCCCCUGUUCCUCUCCUCCUGUUCCUCUCCUCUCACCCUGUUCCUCUCCCCCUGUUCCUCUCCUCCUCUCCUCCUGUUCCUCUCCUCCUCUCCCCCUGUUCCUCUCCCCCUGUUCCUCUCCUCCUCUCCCCCUGUUCCUCUCCCCCUGUCCCUCUCCUCCUCUCCCCCUGUUCCUCUCCUCCUGUUCCUCUCCUCUCCCCCUGUCCCUCUCCUCCUCUCCCCCUGUCCCUCUCCUCCUCUCCCCCUGUUCCUCUCCUCCUGUUCCUCUCCCCCUGUUCCUCUGCCCCUGUUCCUCUCCUCCUCUCCCCCUGUUCCUCUGUCCUUGUUCCUCUCCCCCUGUUCCUCUCCUCCUGUUCCCCUGUUCCUCUCCCCCUGUUCCUCUCCUCCUCUCCCCCUGUUCCCCUGUUCCUCUCCUCCUGUCCCUCUCCUCCUCUCCCCCUGUUCCUCUCCCCCUGUUCCUCUGCCCCUGUUCCUCUCCUCCUCUCCCCCUGUUCCUCUGUCCUUGUUCCUCUCCCCCUGUUCCUCUCCUCCUCUCUCCCUGUUCCUCUCCCCCUGUUCCUCUCCCCCUGUUCCUCUCCUCCUCUCCCCCGUUCCUCUCCCCCUGUUCCUCUCCUCCUCUCCCCCUGUUCCUCUCCUCCUGUCCCCCUGUUCCUCUCCCCCUGUUCCUCUCCCCCUGUUCCUCUCCUCCUCUCCCCCUGUUCCUCUCCUCCUGUCCCCCUGUUCCUCUCCCCCUGUUCCUCUCCUCCUCUCCCCCUGUUCCUCUCCUCCUGUUCCUCUCCUCCUCUCCCUCUGUUCCUCUCCUCCUCUCCCCCUGUUCCCCUCCUCCUCUCCCCCUGUUCCUCUCCUCCUGUCCCCCUGUUCCUCUCCCCCUGUUCCUCUCCUCCUCUCCCCCUGUUCCUCUCCUCCUGUUCCUCUCCUCCUCUCCCUCUGUUCCUCUCCUCCUCUCCCCCUGUUCCCCUCCUCCUCUCCAACCACUCUACAGGAGCUGCGGGUCAUCCCCUGUGCCCACAGGUUCCAUAAGAAGUGUGUGGACCCUUGGCUCCUCCAACACCACACCUGUCCUCACUGUAGACACAACAUCAUCGGUGAGCUGGUGUUCCCUAUGGGCCCUGGUCAAAAGUAGUGCACUAUAUAGGGAACAAGGAUCCAUUUGGGACACGGUGUUGUCAGCAUGA
ensembl:lncRNA